UUUUUUGUGUUAUUCUUUUUCUUUUUUCUAUAAUGUGUGAUUAUGUGUGGCUGUUAUAACAAUUGUGUUUCUCCUGGUUCAUAUAUUAUCUGAUGUGGUGCUAAUUAAUUUUGUUACACCUAAAAUAAUUGGUUCAUCAUUGACCUCAUUUGCUACAGCAAUAUUGAUGUCUUAGUUAAUGAAUGAAGCAUGUUUGAAUUAUUUAUAGGUUUUGGUUUUGGAUAGGCUUAUG
rnacentral:misc_RNA from 1 species